AAUAUUAAAAAAAUAUUUUUUUUUAUUUAGAUAAUUUUAAAGUUGAAGGUUUUUUUUAAAUAUUUUAUGGAGAGAUAAAAUUAUAUAAAUAUUUUGUCGAUCACUUUAUCCAUAUUUGUGAUAUAAAUAAAUUAUUCCCGCAGUUUUGGAUUUCUUGUGCAUAGUGAAGCUUAUACACAUUAUAUAUAGGAAUUAGGGUACCCCUCUCAGAUCUCUUUCUUCUCCCACAAUGGCGGCUGCGACGCUCCGCUCCGUACUCCGCCGCAAUCGCCUCCUGCUCUUGUUCGAAACCUGCCACCUUCGAGACCGCCUCUUCUUGUCCUCCUCUGUCGACGCUGCCGCCGUCACCGUAGGCGGCACCAUGUCUCCAGAUCCCCACUUCAUGGUGGAAUACCUCGUAAACUCCUGCGGGUUCUCCCCCUCCGAGGCAGCCAAGGUCUCUAAACCCCUUGCGCACCUCCGAGCCACCGAGAAACCAGACGCCGUCCUUAACUUCAUGAGAUCUCAGGGCUUCGACGGCGCCGGUAUCAGGAAGGUGAUAUCUGCGGAUCCCAGAUACUUAUGCUACAACGUGGAGACGAACCUCGCCCCGAAGUUUCAGUUCUUACGCGAUUUGGGCCUAUCGGAGUCGGAUAUCGUCGAUGCCAUCCUGAAGAACAAUGGCAUCCUCCUAUACAACAUUCACCGUUCCUUGGUCCCCAAAUUGGAGAUGUGGGAAAGUCUCUUGGGAUCGAGAGAGCUCGUUCUCAAGCAUCUCAAGAAGACAGGAUGGUUUUUCUUCUCCAGCGUUGAGAAGACGUUGCAUCCUAACCUAAAGUUCUUGAGGGAUGAGUGCGGCAUUCCUGAAGAAAGGGUCUCUCUCGUCUUGAGAAGUCACCCAAAAUUAAUAUCACAGAAACCCGAGUCACUCCGAGCUUUGGUGGCGAGAGCCGAUGAGCUGGGGAUGCCACGGCAAUCUCGGAUGUUCAUGUGGACACUUGAUGUUUUCCAGAAGGUAAGCAAAGAAGCGUUCGAGGCCAAGGCCGAGCUCAUGAGGAGCUUCGGGUGGUCGGAGUCGGAGUUUUCUUCUGCAGCCAGGAAAGCACCCACCUUCUUAUGCAUGUCCCUCGAUAUGAUGCGCAGAAAAAUGGAAUUUUUUAUCAAUAUAGUCGGGUACACCCCUUCCUUCAUCGCCUCCCAACCAACUAUCUUGCUAUAUGGUCUGCAGAAGAGGGUAAUUCCUCGGUUUCGUGUUUUGGAGAUGUUGAAUACGAAAGGCUUGUGGACUCGACGAGGCAAGUUUGUCAACUAUGUGCAAUUAUCAAAUACAAAAUUCCGGGAGAAGAUUGUUCUACCUUACAAAGAAAAGGUUCCUGAGCUUCUUGAUAUUUUGAGAGCAGGUGAGUGUGAAGGGAAAUGAGCCCUUUUAUUUGGGGAGGAUGAGAAGGGCUUAGCUGCUGGUCUAACUCACAUGUGAAUUUCUCAACAGGAGAUGAGCAGUGAUUCGGCACCUUUUUCCUUGACAACGAGCUGUCUUACAUCAACCACCAGCCUUGGCUACUAAAGUGCAGUCCAGUGAAAGAAUUAUUCCUUGGUGUCUUAUGGUAGUAAUGUUGUAAUUGGAAGGUAUAUGCAGUGCACAACACAGUGUGUUCCAUUUUUACUCGUUGAGGUUCAUGUAAAAGUCUGUUCUUUGUUGCAAAGAAGAAGUCCCUGGAUGCUUGUUCAUAGUUUAUGUUUUAUAUUUUAGUGUGUUAGUUUAUUUAAUCUGUUCCGAUGUCAGUAUGACAAGGUUUCAAAAUCAUUUGGUUAUUAUCUCAUUUCUCAAUGGGCAAAUCGAGACCCAUAAUCGGCCUAAAUUGAGCUUUCCCAUUGAGUAGGCUUGCUCAAUAUUUUCUUACCUUUGUUUGUAAGGCCCAAUUGAACCCAUUACGACCUGUAAGCAGCCCGUUUCUUGUGCGUACGCUCAACCCUAUAUCUUACUUUCUUUAAAUGUUUGUUAUAGAUUGCUCCUCAGGCAAUCAGGUAAGUGUGAUUUCUGUGAAUUCUUCAACAAGUCUGCUGAUUUUUCUUCUUUCUUCCAAUUGUAAGUUAUCUGUUUUCAUUACACAACUAUGUGUUAGCAUAAUCUAGAUUCUUCAUCAUGUCUGCUGCAACUAUGUGUAAGCAUAAUAUAGAUUGGAAGUUAAAUAUAUCUCGCAAUGAUUGUAAGAAUUCUUCAAUGUCAUGGAGAGUAUUCAAGCUGAAGCUUUUGCGGAAUCAUUUAACUAUUGAUUGUUAUUAGCAAUAAGUAAGAAGGACAUUGCAAUAGCAUUCUUAGCUUAAAUUUUGAUUUUCUAAUUACCUUACUUUUCACUAAAGCAUGAUUGUGCCCUGUGAUAUUUUUAAUCAAAAGCUAAUUGUUUCUCUCCCUUAGAUUGGUUGUUUUUGAGGUGUUACUGUUAUGUGUAGCAAUAUUAUGCAAUGGAAGGUAAACUUGUGCAUUUUAAUAUUGUCUCGCAUCUUUGCAAUGAUCAUAAGCAAUUUUCAAGUUUCUGGUGGUGAAUCCAAC
rnacentral:lncRNA from 1 species